UUGAACGCUGGCGGCAGGUCUACUAUGCAGUCGAGCGGUAGCACAGAGAGCUUGCUCUCGGGUGACGAGCGGCGGACGGGUGAGUAAUGUCUGGGAAACUGCCUGAUGGAGGGGGAUAACUACUGGAAACGGUAGCUAAUACCGCAUAAUGUCGCAAGACCAAAGUGGGGGACCUUCGGGCCUCUUGCCAUCAGAUGUGCCCAGAUGGGAUUAGCUAGUAGGUGGGGUAACGGCUCACCUAGGCGACGAUCCCUAGCUGGUCUGAGAGGAUGACCAGCCACACUGGAACUGAGACACGGUCCAGACUCCUACGGGAGGCAGCAGUGGGGAAUAUUGCACAAUGGGCGCAAGCCUGAUGCAGCCAUGCCGCGUGUGUGAAGAAGGCCUUCGGGUUGUAAAGCACUUUCAGCGGGGAGGAAGGCGAUAAGGUUAAUAACCUUGGCGAUUGACGUUACCCGCAGAAGAAGCACCGGCUAACUCCGUGCCAGCAGCCGCGGUAAUACGGAGGGUGCAAGCGUUAAUCGGAAUUACUGGGCGUAAAGCGCACGCAGGCGGUCUGUCAAGUCGGAUGUGAAAUCCCCGGGCUCAACCUGGGAACUGCAUUCGAAACUGGCAGGCUAGAGUCUUGUAGAGGGGGGUAGAAUUCCAGGUGUAGCGGUGAAAUGCGUAGAGAUCUGGAGGAAUACCGGUGGCGAAGGCGGCCCCCUGGACAAAGACUGACGCUCAGGUGCGAAAGCGUGGGGAGCAAACAGGAUUAGAUACCCUGGUAGUCCACGCCGUAAACGAUGUCGAUUUGGAGGUUGUGCCCUUGAGGCGUGGCUUCCGGAGCUAACGCGUUAAAUCGACCGCCUGGGGAGUACGGCCGCAAGGUUAAAACUCAAAUGAAUUGACGGGGGCCCGCACAAGCGGUGGAGCAUGUGGUUUAAUUCGAUGCAACGCGAAGAACCUUACCUGGUCUUGACAUCCACAGAACUUUCCAGAGAUGGAUUGGUGCCUUCGGGAACUGUGAGACAGGUGCUGCAUGGCUGUCGUCAGCUCGUGUUGUGAAAUGUUGGGUUAAGUCCCGCAACGAGCGCAACCCUUAUCCUUUGUUGCCAGCGGUUCGGCCGGGAACUCAAAGGAGACUGCCAGUGAUAAACUGGAGGAAGGUGGGGAUGACGUCAAGUCAUCAUGGCCCUUACGACCAGGGCUACACACGUGCUACAAUGGCAUAUACAAAGAGAAGCGACCUCGCGAGAGCAAGCGGACCUCAUAAAGUAUGUCGUAGUCCGGAUUGGAGUCUGCAACUCGACUCCAUGAAGUCGGAAUCGCUAGUAAUCGUAGAUCAGAAUGCUACGGUGAAUACGUUCCCGGGCCUUGUACACACCGCCCGUCACACCAUGGGAGUGGGUUGCAAAAGAAGUAGGUAGCUUAACCUUCGGGAGGGCGCUACCCACUUUG
rnacentral:rRNA from 1 species